AUUGAACGCUGGCGGCAUGCUUUGCACAUGCAAGUCGAACGGUAACAGGUUAAGCUGACGAGUGGCGAACGGGUGAGUAAUGCAUCGGAACGUGCCCGAUCGUGGGGGAUAACGCAGCGAAAGCCGCGCUAAUACCGCAUACGAUCUGAGGAUGAAAGCGGGGGACCGUAAGGCCUCGCGCGAUCGGAGCGGCCGAUGUCAGAUUAGGUAGUUGGUGGGGUAAAGGCUCACCAAGCCGACGAUCUGUAGCUGGUCUGAGAGGACGACCAGCCACACUGGGACUGAGACACGGCCCAGACUCCUACGGGAGGCAGCAGUGGGGAAUUUUGGACAAUGGGCGCAAGCCUGAUCCAGCAAUGCCGCGUGCAGGAAGAAGGCCUUCGGGUUGUAAACUGCUUUUGUACGGAGCGAAAAGGCUCUCUCUAAUACAGGGGGCUCAUGACGGUACCGUAAGAAUAAGCACCGGCUAACUACGUGCCAGCCGCCGCCGUAA
rnacentral:rRNA from 1 species